AAUUCCAUAUCUUGAAAACAUGCUGAAAGAAUAAUGAUGUGACUUUGAUAUCAGUAGAAAUUCCAAUGUAGUCAAACACAACCUUGGCUUUUUGAUGAAACCUCCAAAGAACAAUCAUCUAUAAAGAUUGUGACACAGAGAAAAGGUAAAAGAAAUGCCAAAAUUAUAGGGGGGCACACCUUGUAAAUGGGAAGCAUGCCUAAAAUGUUCAGGAGAAGUUCACCCAGAGAUAGCAAUCAAUUAAGGAAAUGAGGAAGAACAGAUAAUCUCAAAAAUCUCAUCUACUUUCUUCCUAUAUUUGAAAACAUAGUUGAGCACUGUAUUUCAACUUAAAACUAUGAAAUCUAAGAGAUAAAGACAAUUAUUUGUGCAUUCACACGUGUAUUAUACUGUAGCAAGUAUAGAACACAGUCAUUGUUCAAACACUUCGCAUACAGAAGCAAAGAUAAAACAAUGAUGAGAAUUUACAUCUAGUAAUAAGUUCCUCAGUAUAAAUCAAAAAAUAAUAAGUUCCUAAGUAAAACUCAAAAAAGCAGAGGUUAUCUGAACAGAUUAUAUCUCAGCUGAUUUAUAUCAUGACAUAUUAUUACAAGAGGAGAUUGUUAAUGGCAUCAUACCUCGGGAGGGCUGAAGAUUGCUCA
rnacentral:misc_RNA from 1 species